GAAAUGCGAUAAGUAAUGCGAAUUGCAGAAUUCCGUGAAUCAUCGAAUCUUUGAACGCACAUUGCGCCCUCUGGCAUUCCGGGGGGCAUGCCUGUCCGAGCGUCAUUUGUACCCUCAAGCUCUGCUUGGUGUUGGGUGUUUGUCCCCGUCUCCGCGCGUGGACUCGCCCCAAAGUGAUUGGCAGCCGGCGUACUGGUCCCGGAGCGCAGCACAUGUCGCGCAAACGAGUGCCUUGGUACGGCGGCGUCCAUAAGCCCCUCUCUCACGCUCUUGACCUCGGAUCAGGUAGGGAUACCCGCUGAACUUAAGC
rnacentral:misc_RNA from 1 species